CCUACGGGGUGCACCAGGCGCGCAAACUUUACAAUGCGAGCAAUCGUGAUAAGGAAACCCUGAGUGCCUGUCGAUGCAGGCUGUUCAUAUAUCUAAAUCAUAUGUGAAGAAAGGGCAGGGCAAGACCGGUGCCAGCCGCCGCGGUAAA
rnacentral:rRNA from 1 species